rnacentral:rRNA from 1 species
AGAGACAGCAGUCGCCACGGUAAUACGGAGGAUCCAAGCGUUAUCCGGAAUCAUUGGGUUUAAAGGGUCCGUAGGCGGUCUUGUAAGUCAGUGGUGAAAGCCCAUCGCUCAACGGUGGAACGGCCAUUGAUACUGCAGGACUUGAAUUAUUGGGAAGUAACUAGAAUAUGUAGUGUAGCGGUGAAAUGCUUAGAGAUUACAUGGAAUACCAAUUGCGAAGGCAGGUUACUACCAAUUGAUUGACGCUGAUGGACGAAAGCGUGGGUAGCGAACAGGAUUAGAUACCCCGGUAGUCCCUGUCUCUUAUAA